UACGAAGGGGGCUAGCGUUGCUCGGAAUGACUGGGCGUAAAGGGCGCGUAGGCGGUUUGAUUAGUUAGGUGUGAAAUUCCUGGGCUCAACCUGGGGACUGCACUUAAUACAGUCAGACUUGAGUUCGGAAGAGGGUUGUGGAAUUGCCAGUGUAGAGGUGAAAUUCGUAGAUAUUGGCAAGAACACCGGUGGCGAAGGCGGCAACCUGGUCCGAUACUGACGCUGAGGCGCGAAAGCGUGGGGAGCAAACAGG
rnacentral:rRNA from 1 species